CCUACGGGAGGCUGCAGUGAGGAAUAUUGGUCAAUGGACGAGAGUCUGAACCAGCCAAGUAGCGUGAAGGAUGACUGCCCUAUGGGUUGUAAACUUCUUUUAUAUGGGAAUAAAACGUUCCACGUGUGGGAUUUUGUAUGUACCAUAUGAAUAAGGAUCGGCUAACUCCGUGCCAGCAGCCGCGGUAAUACGGAGGAUCCGAGCGUUAUCCGGAUUUAUUGGGUUUAAAGGGAGCGUAGGUGGAUUGUUAAGUCAGUUGUGAAAGUUUGCGGCUCAACCGUAAAAUUGCAGUUGAAACUGGCAGUCUUGAGUACAGUAGAGGUGGGCGGAAUUCGUGGUGUAGCGGUGAAAUGCUUAGAUAUCACGAAGAACUCUGAUUGCGAAGGCAGUUCACUGGACUGCAACUGACACUGAGGCUCGAAAGUGUGGGUAUCAAACAGGAUUAGAUACCCUUGUAGUC
rnacentral:rRNA from 1 species